rnacentral:rRNA from 1 species
UACAGAGGGUGCGAGCGUUAAUCGGAAUUACUGGGCGUAAAGCGUGCGCAGACGGUCAUGUAAGUCGGGUGUGAAAGCCCCGGGCUCAACCUGGGAAUUGCAUUCGAGACUGUGUGGCUAGGGUGCGGAAGAGGGAAGCGGAAUUUCCGGUGUAGCGGUGAAAUGCGUAGAUAUCGGAAGGAACACCAGUGGCGAAAGCGGCUUCCUGGUCCAGCACCGACGUCAGGCACGAAAGCGUGGGGGAGCAAACAGG